GCCCCUGUCGUUCAAUGGAUAGGACGCAAGAUUCCGGAUCUUGUAAUAGAGGUUCGAAUCCCCUUGGGGGCA
rnacentral:tRNA from 1 species